rnacentral:rRNA from 1 species
UACGUAGGGGGCUAGCGUUGUCCGGAAUCAUUGGGCGUAAAGAGCGUGUAGGCGGUCCGGUAAGUCAGCUGUGAAAGUCAAGGGCUCAACCCUUGAAAGCCGGUUGAUACUGUCGGGCUAGAGUCCGGAAGAGGCGAGUGGAAUUCCCGGUGUAGCGGUGAAAUGCGUAGAUAUCAGGAGGAACACCGGUGGCGAAGGCGGGUCUCUGGGCCGAUAUUGACGCUGAGGAGCGAAAGCGUGGGGAGCGAACAGG